rnacentral:lncRNA from 1 species
GCAAGAGGCAUCUCCGUGAGUGGGUCCCAGCCCCUGAAUCGCAGUGGGAAUCAGGGAGGCGGCAACACCUGCGUGCCGUCAUAAAGACCCCCACCAUGCCCUCGUAAAGACCCCCAUCACACCGUCCUGAAGACCCCCACAUACCCUCGUAAAGACCCCCAUCACACCGUCCUGAAGACCCCCACACACCCUCGUAAAGACCCCAUCACACCGUCCUGAAGACCCCCACACACACUCGUAAAGACCCCAUCACACCAUCCUGAAGACCCCACACACCCUCGUAAAGACCCCAUCACACCGUCCUGAAGACCCCACACACACUCGUAAAGACCCCAUCACACCAUCCUGAAGACCCCACACACCCUCGUAAAGACCCCAUCACACCGUCCUGAAGACCCCACACACCCUCGUAAAGACCCCAUCACACCGUCCUGAAGACCCCACACACCCUCGUAAAGACCCCAUCACACCGUCCUGAAGACCCCACACACCCUCGUAAAGACCCCAUCACACCAUCCUGAAGACCCCACACACCCUCGUAAAGACCCCAUCACACCAUCCUGAAGACCCCACACACCCUCGUAAAGACCCCAUCACACCGUCCUAAAGACCCCCACACACCCUCGUAAAGACCCCAUCACACCAUCCUGAAGACCCCACACACACUCGUAAAGACCCCAUCACACCGUCCUAAAGACCCCCCCUAUUGCCGGGCGCGGUGGCUCACGCCUGUAAUCCCAGCACCUUGGGAGGCUGAGGCGGCGGAUCACGAGGUCAGGAGGUGGAGACCAUCCUGACUAACACGGUGAAACCCCAUCUCU